rnacentral:tRNA from 1 species
ACCAUAUAGCAAAUUGGUUUUUGUAAACCAUGAACAGUUUGCAUACGUGAGCGGAAACCACUCAUCCAUGCUCCACCACGUUUC